rnacentral:rRNA from 1 species
CUAAUCCAGGGAGGUAGUGACAAUAAAUAACAAUGAAGGGCUCUACGAGUCUUUCAAUUGGAAUGAGUACGAUUUAAAAACAGGUUCGAGGACCAAUUGGAGGGCAAGUCUGGUGCCAGCAGCCGCGGUAAUUCCAGCUCCAAUAGCGUAUAUUAAAGUUGUUGCAGUUAAAAAGCUCGUAGUUGGACCUCUGGUCGGAGCAACGAGGCCACUCCGCAAGGAGCGAGCGCUCUGUUGUCUCCGGCCAUCCUUGGGAAGAGCGGCCCUGGCAUUAGGUUGUCGGGGUCGGGAUUCCCAUCGUUUACUGUGAAAAAAUUAGAGUGUUCAAGGCAGGCUUAACGCCGUGAAUACAUUAGCAUGGAAUAAUGAGACAGGACCUUGGCGGUCUAUUUUGUUGGUUUGCACGCCAAGGUAAUGAUUAAUAGGGAUAGUUGGGGGUAUUCGUAUUCAAUUGUCAGAGGUGAAAUUCUUGGAUUUAUGGAAGACGAACUACUGCGAAAGCAUUUACCAAGGAUG